rnacentral:lncRNA from 1 species
GAAUUUAAGAACUUUUGAUAAUACUCCUAUGGGAAAAAGGGAGAAGCUGAUGGAGGCAUUUGCACACUAAAUCCAUUUUAUUACUCCUAGUCACAUCCAAAUCACAGAAUAGGAGAGGCCAGUGAUUCUCUGCAAGCAUCGAGGAGGCCAGUGUUUCAGGAUCCUUUUUACCCAGAUUAUUUCCUGUCUGAAAGGAAGCAGUGAUGAGCUGUAUGGAUUUGAGUUAUUGAAACUUCCUCUUCUUGCAGAAAUUCGACAGGGAAGAAAAGCAAGUCACCAGGGACUGUAUCCUUGAUUAGUGGCUGCGAUCCUGCAACACACUUCAUCCUGCCCAAUCCCCAUCGAUGUUGGCAUUUUCCUACUCAAUUGAUGUCCUCAUAUUUUCCCUGCUCCAUCUACACACCAUAUAUUUCCUCAGGUGCUACAAACAAGUUCCAAACUUUAUUGGACAGGGGAAGAAGUAGAAGAAACAAGAAGUAUUAUUAAAAUGAAUGGAGUUAAAAUGGGACAGAGGUGAGAAGAAGGAGCUAGAAAACUUUAAAUAAAAUGCACCUACAGCUAAGGAAAUAGACAAGCCUUUCUGAUGGCUCUCAUGGCUCUGCGUUUACAUACUACAGAUUCCUCCUGGAUGAAACAGAAGCCGGGCUGCUGAUGCAGCUGGAGGAGGAAGCGAGAGGUUCCAACGGCAUGACUCCUUGGCAUUUCACACAUCCAUAGAAAUAACCCAUCUAUGAUUUCCACAAGACAAUUUUUUCUUAGUCCCCACUUUUCAGUGUAUGCUCAAACACAAUGCAGAAUCCCAAGAAACUGUGAAACUUUUCUGAGAAAAUGUUCUGAUUUGAAUUAGUUAGCUGUAUUCUGCAUUCAGCACAUUUACAAGCUUUGAAAUAUCGGACAUUGGCAAGCAAGCACUAACAUUUUAUAAGUAGCAGUUUGCAUCCAGGUUUGAGGUAAUGUAAUCCAACAUGCACGAGAACACAGUCUAGGUCCCCUUCUCCCUUCUAAGCAUAGCAGAAGGAUUAGGAAUAAUGAAUGGUGUGAAUUUUGCCACCUAGAGGGUUUCAUUUUGAUACCUGUUACACAGUCCUCUUGAGCACUGUGCUCAUUUUUCCUAUUGCUGAGAUAUGGAAAAUAAAACAGUAAUAGGAACGUGCACUGACAACACACCAUGUCAAUGCCCUAAAACGCAAAGUCUUGGAGAGGGUUCCAUAAUGGCUUCAGUAGAAGCAUAGCUCAUUCCCUGCUUUGCUAAUCAAUUUUCUGCAUGCCAUGUUCUCCCCGUUAUACCUCAUCCCUUAGGCUACUCUUGUAGCCCAAGUCAACCACACAGGUGAUAUACACCGGUGGAAUAGGUCAGGGCAAUUUCUUGAGGCACUGGAGGGGGAAAACCUGGGGUCUCUCCUCAGCCCUCCAAUGUGUCCAUAAUGCUCCUCAUGUGCCACAGGCUCCGUGCCACCAUGGAAUUUGAUCUGGAAGUCUAGAGCCCUUUUCAGGGAGUUGUUUAAGCCUUUAGUCCUUGUUUCUUCACUCUUAGUGUAAUUCUGUGUCAUUUUAGAGCCAGAAACACUGUUGUAACAGUCAAAUGUAGUAAUUAAGACUGUAGUAUCAGAUCACUGGCUUUUCAAUCUUUUUCUAAAAGGCUCUAUGAUCUCAGGCAAAUUUACUGAACUCUUCUUGCUGUAAUAUGGGGAGACAGUGGCCCUCACUUCAUAGAUUGUAGUGAGAUUAAAUAAGUUAAUAUAUGUAAAGCUUUAAUAAAGUACUUAGCAAAUAGUAUAUACAGUACUAUGCAAGUUUUAGCUAUAAAAUGACAAUAACAUUUCACAUAAAAAGGUUACUAUUAAUUGUUACUACCAUUUCCUAAUUAUUGAUUUAUGUAAUAAGCUAUGCCCCAAACCUACCAGGUUUAACUCUUGGUAUUCAGUGUGAACUGAAUUAUAUUCCCCUCAAAUUCAUUUAUUGAAACACUAAUGUGCUGGCAUUAGAAGGCAAGGCAUUUGGGAGGUAAUUAGGUCAUGAAGGUAGAAUCCUCAUGAUGGGAUUAAUGCCCUUAUUAGAACAGACUGAAGAGAAAUUUUACUCUGCCAUGAGAGACACAUAAAAAAAAAAAAAAAAGAUGAAGUCUACAAGCCAGGAAGCAAGCUCCCACCAAGAACUGAAUCAGCCAGCACCUUGUUCUUGAAUUUCCCAGCCUCCAGAACUGUGAGAAAUAAAUAUUAGUAGUUCAAGUCACCCAGACGGUGAUAUUUUUUGAUAUUUUGUGACAGCAGCCCAUACAAACCAAGGCUAUCUUCAAGCAAACAAUUUAGAAGUUCACAAUUUUUUUUCUGUCAAAUAUGUGGUGUUCGCAAAUUGAAAGCAUCUUGGAUUUCAGGUUAGUAUCCCUAGUACAUAUUUUAAAACUUAUUUAGAGAUUCAAUUGACUUAUUUUAUUUGAGUCUAUGUCCACCUUUCUCCUGAGGCAGAGAAUGCCUCUGCCACAGGUCUCAAAAUCCUCUGGUUAACACAAAAAUUACAGAAAAUGCAAAAUUCCAGCCUAGGAAUUAAACACUCUCAUGUGUAAAUUUGUGUAAUGUAGAAGUUUAAUAGCAAAGAAAGAGAAAUUGUUAUACCUAUCAAUCAAGCAGGAGCUUCUCCUUAAAAUCUUUCAACAUGAAUCACAUGGCUUAGCAGGGGUAAAAUAUUUUAGGAGCCUCCUCCUAGAGGAUCUCACUCAAUCUUACUCCCUUGUAGAACAGGCGAUAUCUUCACCAUGCGCACAAUGAAAUCAAUACUCAGAGAAGGCAGAUAAUUCUCCACGAAGCCAGAAAACUAAUAAAUGAACAGUUGAUUCCAUUAUUACCAUCCCUGCAAUACCACUCCUUAACACCUUUCUACUUAGACAUGAAAAUCUAUGGCUUU